GAUGAACGCUGGCGGCGUGCCUAAUACAUGCAAGUCGAGCGAAUGGAUUAAGAGCUUGCUCUUAUGAAGUUAGCGGCGGACGGGUGAGUAACACGUGGGUAACCUGCCCAUAAGACUGGGAUAACUCCGGGAAACCGGGGCUAAUACCGGAUAACAUUUUGAACCGCAUGGUUCGAAAUUGAAAGGCGGCUUCGGCUGUCACUUAUGGAUGGACCCGCGUCGCAUUAGCUAGUUGGUGAGGUAACGGCUCACCAAGGCAACGAUGCGUAGCCGACCUGAGAGGGUGCUCGGCCACACUGGGACUGAGACACGGCCCAGACUCCUACGGGAGGCAGCAGUAGGUAAUCUUCCGCAAUGGACGAAAGUCUGACGGAGCAACGCCGCGUGAGUGAUGAAGGCUUUCGGGUCGUAAAACUCUGUUGUUAGGGAAGAACAAGUGCUAGUUGAAUAAGCUGGCACCUUGACGGUACCUAACCAGAAAGCCACGGCUAACUACGUGCCAGCAGCCGCGGUAA
rnacentral:rRNA from 1 species